GACGAACGCUGGCGGCGUGCUUAACACAUGCAAGUCGAACGGUGAAAGCGGAGCUUGCUCCGCUGGAUCAGUGGCGAACGGGUGAGUAACACGUGGGCAACCUGCCCCUCACUUCGGGAUAACUCCGGGAAACCGGGGCUAAUACCGGAUAUGACCUCCUUGGGCAUCCUUGGAGGUGGAAAGUUUUUCGGUGGGGGAUGGGCCAGCGGCCUAUCAGCUUGGUGGUGAGGUGGUGGCUCACCAAGGCGACGACGGGUAGCCGGCCUGAGAGGGCGCCGGGCCACGCUGGGACUGAGACACGGCCCAGACUCCUACGGGAGGCAGCAGGGGGGAAUAUUGCGCAGUGGGCGAAAGCCUGACGCAGCAACGCCGCGUGUGGGAUGACGGCCUUCGGGUUGUAAACCGCUUUCAGCAGGGAAGAAGCCGCAAGGUGACGGUACCUGCAGAAGAAGCACCGGCUAACUACGUGCCAGCCGCCGCCGUAA
rnacentral:rRNA from 1 species